rnacentral:rRNA from 1 species
CCUACGGGUGGCUGCAGUGGGGAAUAUUGCACAAUGGGCGCAAGCCUGAUGCAGCCAUGCCGCGUGUGUGAAGAAGGCCUUCGGGUCGUAAAGCACUUUCAGCGGGGAGGAAGGCGGUGAGGUUAAUAACCUCAUCGAUUGACGUUACCCGCAGAAGAAGCACCGGCUAACUCCGUGCCAGCAGCCGCGGUAAUACGGAGGGUGCAAGCGUUAAUCGGAAUUACUGGGCGUAAAGCGCACGCAGGCGGUCUGUCAAGUCGGAUGUGAAAUCCCCGGGCUCAACCUGGGAACUGCAUUCGAAGCUGGCAGGCUAGAGUCUUGUAGAGGGGGGUAGAAUUCCAGGUGUAGCGGUGAAAUGCGUAGAGAUCUGGAGGAAUACCGGUGGCGAAGGCGGCCCCCUGGACAAAGACUGACGCUCAGGGGCGAAAGCGUGGGGAGCAAACAGGAUAGAUACCCGAGUAGUC